rnacentral:rRNA from 1 species
GACGAACGCUGGCGGCGCGCUUAAUACAUGCAAGUCGAGCGAGAACCGGAGCUUCGGCUCCGGGGACAGCGGCGAACGGGUGAGUAACACGUGGGUAACCUGCCCUCGGCACCGGGAUAGCCCGGGGAAACCCGGAUUAAUACCGGAUGGCCCUUUCAGCCUUCGGGCUGGUUUGGAAAGGUAGCUUCGGCCUCCGGCCGAGGAUGGGCCCGCGGCGGAUUAGCUUGUUGGUGAGGUAACGGCUCACCAAGGCUCCGAUCCGUAGCUGGUCUGAGAGGACGAUCAGCCACACUGGGACUGAGACACGGCCCAGACUCCUACGGGAGGCAGCAGUAGGGAAUCUUGCACAAUGGGCGCAAGCCUGAUGCAGCGACGCCGCGUGCGGGAAGACGGCCCUCGGGUUGUAAACCGCUUUCAGGAGGGACGAAGCCACUCGGGUGAAUAGCCCAGAGGGUGACGGUACCUCCAGAAGAGGCCCCGGCUAACUACGUGCCAGCCGCCGCCGUAACAC